GACGAACGCUGGCGGCGUGCUUAACACAUGCAAGUCGAACGAAGUGGCGAACGGGUGAGUAAUACGUGGGUAACCUGCCCUCCUUUAGGGGAUAAACCUUGGAAACGGGGGCUUAUUACCAAUAAAGGGGGAUGGGGUCGGGGCCUAUCAGCUUGUUGGUGGGGUGAUGGCCUAACAAGGCGUUGCCGGGUAGCCGGGCUGAGAGGGUGACCGGGAACAGUGGGACUGAGAGAAGGCCCAGAGUCCUAAGGGAGGGAGAAGUGGGGGAUAGUGGCCAAGGGGCGAAAGCGUGAUGCCGCGACGCCGCGGGGGGGAUGAAGGCUUUAGGGUUGUAAACCUCUUUCGGUAUCGAACGGGUAGGUGGAGAAGAAGUGCCGGCUAACUACGUGCCAGCAGCCGCGGUAAUAC
rnacentral:rRNA from 1 species